rnacentral:rRNA from 1 species
GAUGAACGCUGGCGGCGUGCUUAACACAUGCAAGUCGAACGGGAAACCUUUUAUUGAAGCUUCGGCAGAUUUAGCUGGUUUCUAGUGGCGGACGGGUGAGUUACGCGUGGGUAACCUGCCUUAUACAGGGGGAUAACAGUCAGAAAUGGCUGCUAAUACCGCAUAAGCGCACAGAGCUGCAUGGCUCAGUGUGCAAAACUCCGGUGGUAUAAGAUGGACCCGCGUUGGAUUAGCUGGUUGGUGGGGUAACGGCCCACCAAGGCGACGAUCCAUAGCCGGCCGGGGAGGGUGAACGGGCACAUUGGGACUGAGGCACGGCCCAGACUCCUACGGGAGGCAGCAGUGGGGAAUAUUGCACAAUGGGGGAAACCCUGAUGCAGCGACGCCGCGUGAAGGAAGAAGUAUCUCGGUAUGUAAACUUCUAUCAGCAGGGAAGAUAAUGACGGUACCUGACUAAGAAGCCCCGGCUAACUACGUG